rnacentral:rRNA from 1 species
CGAAUGCUGACAUAAGUAACGAUAAAGCGGGUGAAAAGCCCGCUCGCCGGAAGACCAAGGGUUCCUGUCCAACGUUAAUCGGGGCAGGGUGAGUCGACCCCUAAGGCGAGGCCGAAAGGCGUAGUCGAUGGGAAACAGGUUAAUAUUCCUGUACUUGGUGUUACUGCGAAGGGGGGACGGAGAAGGCUAUGUUGGCCGGGCGACGGUUGUCCCGGUUUAAGCGUGUAGGCUGGUUUUCCAGGCAAAUCCGGAAAAUCAAGGCUGAGGCGUGAUGACGAGGCACUACGGUGCUGAAGCAACAAAUGCCCUGCUUCCAGGAAAAGCCUCUAAGCAUCAGGUAACAUCAAAUCGUACCCCAAACCGACACAGGUGGUCAGGUAGAGAAUACCAAGGCGCUUGAGAGAACUCGGGUGAAGGAACUAGGCAAAAUGGUGCCGUAACUUCGGGAGAAGGCACGCUGAUAUGUAGGUGAAGUCCCUUGCGGAUGGAGCUGAAAUCAGUCGAAGAUACCAGCUGGCUGCAACUGUUUAUUAAAAACACAGCACUGUGCAAACACGAAAGUGGACGUAUACGGUGUGACGCCUGCCCGGUGCCGGAAGGUUAAUUGAUGGGGUUAGCCGCAAGGCGA